rnacentral:lncRNA from 1 species
CCGUGAACAAUCAAUCAUUCAGUGUUCAAAAUGAUAACAGUAGAGUUCAAGUGACACGAUCUGUAGCUUUUUUUCCCAACGGAGAACCCUUGGGUCCUCUCUCAACAGAGUCCACUUACUCCGUGACCACCACGCUCUAUCCUAUCAAAUAUGGACUUACUUUUGCAGCAUCAAACUAGGAAUGAUUAAAGACACCAACCAUC